UACGUAGGUGGCAAGCGUUGUCCGGAUUUAUUGGGUUUAAAGGGUGCGUAGGCGGUCUAUUAAGUCAGUUGUGAAAUACGGCAGCUCAACUGUCGAGGUGCAAUUGAUACUGAUGGACUUGAGUACUGAUGAGGUAAGCGGAAUGGACGGUGUAGCGGUGAAAAUGCUUAGAUAUCGUCCAGAACACCGAUAGCGAAGGCAGCUUACUAAGGAGUAAACUGACGCUGAGGCACGAAAGUGUGGGGAUCAAACAGG
rnacentral:rRNA from 1 species